CGUAUUAUAGCUUAAAGUAAGCUUUAUUAUUUACAUUAAUAAAUUAAUUGUGCAAUUCAAUUUGAUUCGA
rnacentral:tRNA from 1 species